GGCGGAGUGGCCAAGUGGUCUAAGGCAUCGGUUUGCAAAACCGACAUUCGCGGGUUCGAAUCCCGCCUCCGCCUCCA
rnacentral:tRNA from 1 species